AGGACUAACGCUGGCGGCGUGCCUAACACAUGCAAGUCGAACGAGAGUAGCAAUACUCUAGUGGCAGACGGGUGAGUAACACGUGGUCAACCUACCUUUAAGUGGGGGAUAACUAGCCGAAAGGUUAGCUAAUACCGCAUACGAUCUUCGCGUGGCAUCACAUGAAGAUGAAAGGAGCAAUCCGCUGAAAAAGACGGGACCGCGUCCCAUUAGCUAGAUGGUGGGGUAACGGCCUACCAUGGCGACGAUGGGUAGCUGGCUUGAGAGAGCGACCGGGAGCCACACUGGGACUGAGACACGGCCCAGACUCCUACGGGAGGCAGCAGUGAGGAAUUUUCCGCAAUGGGCGAAAGCCUGACGGAGCGACGCCGCGUGUGGGAAGAAGGCCUUCGGGUCGUAAACCACUGUCGAAGGGGAAGAUAUUGACGGUACCCUUGGAGGAAGCCCCGGCUAACUACGUGCCAGCAGCCGC
rnacentral:rRNA from 1 species